GAGUAUUCUGUCACGACCCAAAUUUCGGGUCAUGAUCGGCGCAUGGGCCCAAUGAACGUAGUCCACUAAGCCAAAGAAAGCCUAUUAAUCUGACGUGUUCAUCAUUCCAUCAUAAUUGCUAAGUCAUAUUUCAUAACUUAGAAUCAAAAUAAUACUAUACAUUUGCCACCUCAUACUGGCAUACCAAACAAGUGUAUAUACAUUAUUUACAACAUGUAUCUUAACAAUUUACAUUAGGUUCGUCUAUACAUAACAAAAUAAUACUCGACUUCCAGCGGAUGGACUCGGACAAAUGUACAGCUACUGAAUGUCGAGACACCUACCAAAAGAUGGAUACAAGUCUACAAGGACACCUCGUCCUAGUUAUCGGUUACCUCGUGAUCUGAAAACAUGAAGUUGAAAACAGUGAGUAUAAACCCAGUGAGUGAACAAGGAAGGGAACAAGCAACAACAAAGGAGAAUUUAAAAAUCAUGAUGCACUUGUUUCAAAACAAUGCAAUUUAGUUCCAUUCAUAUUAAAAACCCCUCAUCAAGCCCUUAAAUGAUUAAUCAUUUGAAAAUCAUGAACCCAUACAUAACGAACCAUUUGAAGAAUGAAAGCUUCAAUAUUAUGCAAGCAAGUCAAAUACGACAAUGAAUCUUCGCUGCAGCAGAAAGGCAUUCUCGCUGCAGCUACGUUACAGCGAGAAUGAAUUUUUGUUGCAGUGACGUUGGGAUUUAGUUAUUAGCCGAAUGAGAGUUUCUCAACUAGCCGAGGGUUUCUCACUAAACCUCCUCAUUUUAAACUUAACUCAUUUAGUCCUAACUGUUGGAAGUCCAUGCUUAGAUAUGGUAGCAAAUAAGUGAAAAAUAGGGCAGCAAUUGGACAAGAUAGGAGACAAACAGAGAGUUUUUUGCUGCAGCGAGAUUGAAUCUCACUGCAGCGAAAUUGUAACCCAGAAAUAGAAGGUUUCUCGCUGUAGUGAGAUUCUUUUUCACUGUAGCGAAAUUCAGCUGAUGAAACAGAGAGUUUUUGGCUGCAGCGAGAUUCCUUUUCACUACAACGAGAAGCUACAGUGACUAUUUCGCUGCAGCGAGAUUCAUUCUCACUGUAGUGAGAACCAGUUCUGGUGAAGGCUCUCAAACCUGAGAGUUUCUCGCUACAGCAAAAAUGAUUUUCGCUGCAGCGAGAAACAAAGCACCAAUGAAAAAUUUACCCUUUUACCUAAAGAAAAACCACCCUGCUUGAAUGUCCAAACCAACAUGAAACGCAUAACAAUUUUCCACAGUUUAACAUGUCAAGUUUCACAUGCAUUACAACCAUAUACCAUUACUCAAUAAUUUCCUAUAACACACAUAUUUAUAUAUGUAUAUAUGUAUACGUAUACCCAUCAUCAUCAUCAUGCACACCAUCCCAUCAUCAUCAUCACCAGCUCAUGCACACUCCCUACUAGCACAUAGACAAGUCAAUGUCAUUACACAACAAUAUAUUCAUAUAUAUAUAUAUAUAUAUAUAUAUCAACACAAUGUGGUAGUGCAUGAAUCAAUACUAGUCUCAUGUCACAACAUAAACCAUUUCUCAAGAGCUUGUUCCCAAGGCACUCAUUUUUAAGAAAAGUUGUAUAAAAUCAUUCAAACACUUUGUACAAAAUAGUCACAUUUCCAAAAUAGUUUUAAUAGGCAAUCCACUCACCGAUUUAUUGUUGAGCCUUUAGUUGACUCUAAUUCCCCUAAUGAUCCAAUUGGAAGGAUGGGACUUCAUUAGAACCUAGGAUUACAUUAGCAUAAGCAAUAGGUCAAUUCACACACUAUGAACCUUAAAAGCUAUCUUUUAGCUAGCUUUCAAUUGCCACAUUAAAUGGUUAUCUAUGUUCACUAUCUUAAUCACUAAAAAAGUAAUGAACAUACUCAACAAUAAAACAGCUCUUAAUCUAAAUUACUAGCCAUUAUUCAUAGCUAAAAAUCAAGCUUAGUUCAUCACUUACCCUAGGGCUCAUUUGUAGUUGAAUUCUGUUCCAAUAGCUUCCACAUAAAUGGGGUAAUUCUCUCUUUCUCUCUCUAGAACGCCCAACUAGUGAGAGAAAGUAUGGAAAUAAGAUUUUUCAAGGGUUUUAAGGAGAGAGAGUGGAAGAAUACAAGGGUUCUAGUAAAAAAUGCUCAAAGGUAUAAAAACUAGAGUUAGAGAGAGAAAAUCAUGCAAGUUCCAUAUCAAGCUUCCAUGGAGGUUUUAAAGAAACGUGAGAGGGAAAGAGGAAGAAGAA
rnacentral:lncRNA from 1 species